rnacentral:rRNA from 1 species
AUUGAACGCUGGCGGCAUGCUUUACACAUGCAAGUCGAACGGUAACAGGGUGCUUGCACCGCUGACGAGUGGCGAACGAGUGAGUAAUGCGUCGGAACGUGCCGAGUAGUGGGGGAUAACGCAGCGAAAGUUGUGCUAAUACCGCAUACGUACUGAGGUAGAAAGUGGGGGACCUUCGGGCCUCACGCUAUUCGAGCGGCCGACGUCUGAUUAGCCAGUAGGUGAGGUAAAGGCUCACCUAGGCGACGAUAAGUAGCGGGUCGGAGAGGGAGAUCCGGCAAACUGGGACUGAGAAACGGCCCAGACUCCUACGGGAGGGAGCAGUGGGGAAUUUUGGACAAUGGGCGAAAGCCUGAUCCAGCCAUGCCGCGUGUCUGAAGAAGGCCAUCGGGUUGUAAAGGACUUUUGUCGGGGAGGAAAUCCCCAGCGUUAAUGCCGCUGGGGGAUGACAGUACCUGAAGAAUAAGCACCGGCUAACUACGUGCCAGCCGCCGCCGUAACAC